UGAACUCCUUUCCUUCCAUGCAAAUGUUAAUUUAGUUCGCUUUGUUUAGCUGCGAUGGCAACACAGUUUUUGGAAGUGUUUUGUGUGCGUGAGUCAUCAAUAUCUGAGUGAUGUUUCUAUUGUGCUCAUAUGCCAAUGGUCCUAAAAAGCAUCAGCAAUUCAUCUGUUCCAGCUGGGACGAGAAAGGCUGACAAACUGCAGUGCCGCAUCAAAAAGCGACUAAAAAUGGAAUCCUAGGGCCAUGUGAACAGCAAACUCUGCUCCUCAAAGCCUUGGAAAUGAAGCCCACCAGAAACCAGGCUCAGCUUUGGCCAGGAAGAUUUCAAAGUGAAUCCUGAAUGCCACUGGAAGAUGUAUAUGUGUCCGACAGCAUCCCUUGCUUCCCUGCUAUUCUGAAGCACUAUCUAGCAGGAAGAAUACCCGCUCACCUCUGCUGGCUCUCAGUGGUCCCACAAGGAGGGCUGCCCGCUCUCUGCUGCAGCAGAGGCUCCAACAAGCGGCUGUCUUGCAGCUUGCAGCACCCACUGCAGCUCCGAGGAGGCCCCAGGCAGCAGCAGUGGGGCAGCAGUGCAGCCGCUCCCGUCCCAAUGGGCGCAGGAUUUCCAUCAGCGCUCUGAUGUCUGGAUGGAAACUGGGACUGCAGCUCAUGCAUAUACAGACGGAGCUGCUGGACCAGUAAUUCUUCUGUCUCUUUUUCUACUUCUAAGACAUAGCUCUGAAUUGAAUCCCUGAAAAUGGAAGGUCCGGGCCUCAGAAGCAGGGUGACGAUUUGGAGGAUGCGUGGCUCUCCCCUCACUGCAGAGGAGGGAGGGGUUCUGUCCUUUGGGGGGACAUUCCAGUUUGGGGUAAUGCAGUGGAAACACCAUGUGUGUCCUUUUUCAUUCAAAUUACACACAAAAAAAUUGUGAUACGAGUCAUGAGCAAAGGCAGAACAGAGCCUACAGUCUUUAAUCUUUAAAAUCUAUUUUACAUGAUUAAAAGGAUCCUGCCUGGAGAAAAGCAAGACUGGCUAUUUAUAUCUCCAUUCUUCUCCCCCCUCUCUUUUUUCCUCAGAAAAUACUGUGCAGUCUUUCACAUCUGAAAGACCACGGCUGGCUGCCAUUAAUUUUAAUGCUAAAUCCUCAUCAGCAUUUCAAAACAUUAUGAAAAUGUCGAAGAAACUGUCUUCUAGUAGCAUGAAAAUAUGGCAGGCAGCAACCUAAAUAAUACUGUAAGUGCCCUGGUAAGUACAAGAGCACAUGCUGGAAAGGAAAAGAGAAAAAGAAAAGGCUUUAGACCACCACGCAAACAUCACCUCUACAAAGCAGGCGUAAAUGGAUUGCAGGAUUUCAUGGAUGCUGAGAGUUUGAAUUACUGACUGAGCUGCACCUCUCUGAGAGAGAACGUGGCUGUUUUUUAGGGAAUGCAUCAAAUACUGAAUGCUGCUGUUUGCUGUGCAGUCCGCUCUGUGGACAAGUGCAUAAAUAACCUUACAUGUAGGGUCCUGUUUUGGCCAGCAAACGCAAUUAAAGGAAUGGAAUAUGUCAUGGACUAUAAUAUUAGUGCUCUAUUCUGCUGCAUUUGCAAAGAUGAUGGAUGCCAAUUAAAUUGAAAUCAAUGGCCACGGGCUAAGCAAAUGAUGACUCUGAUCAAAGCAUUCUUCCUUAGCAAAGCAGUAAAUCAGCUCCUAAAAUGAAAUACAUGUUCUUCAUGGUUCUGCUUAAAAUUAAGCACGUGCUUAAGAAACUCCCUGUUUAGGGAAGAGCUGGAAAAUGCUUUUUGGGGUUUAGUUUUUAACUGGGAGUAUCUGUGCUUACCUGGCUCUGCGUGGAUGGCAUUUAUAGGGACAGUGAUACACGCACCAAGUUUCAGUGGGGUUUCAGGACCCGCUCCUGCUGUCUCACGCUCGGUUGUAUUUAUAGCAGUCCAGCAGGAUGGGGAACUGCGCCAGGAUUUCAGUGCUAUUCCUGCUUUCUUUCAUGUUGAGGCUUUUCCUGGAGUUUGCCCUUCGAUGGGACGGAGCACUGAGGCUGCCCCUCCUCUCCUCCCUCGGCAGUACGUGGGAUGCUGCCACGUGGGGUGACUCUCAUAUGGUCAGUAUGGGAUUUCCUUCACCUUGAGAACCAGCUUUUGAGUAACCCCACGUCUUCCUGCUUUUCUAAGAAUUCGAGUUAUUUUUCUAACUUUUUUUUUUUUUUUUUUACCCUUUUCUUCCUGGAAGAGAUUUGGAAACGUAAAGCUGCACUUUGAAAAUGAUUCUUAAAUAAUUAUAAUGAUGAUGAUAUUCUCCAAGGGGGAAAAGCUGACUGUUCUGCCCAGCAGUGAGUGGGACAAGCACCAUCUCCAAGCAAAAGCCAUUAAAAAGCUUGGCUUUGCUGGGAAAUCUCAGGCUUUGCUGGGAAAACGUACCGCCAAAGGCAGAGAUGGGAAACUUUCAGCCCCUGUGCUGCUUUUUCUCUUUUUGAUUAAAUACCAGGUUGAAGUAUCAUCAACAGUGCGGGUUCUGAAGAAUACAUGAGAAUGCACUUGAGGUUAGAAAGCUUGUCUUUUGUUCAGUGUUUUUUUUUUUUUAAAGCCACUAGACUGUUCUUGAAAUGAAUCACCGAGUGGGUGAGAUGGAGGCUGGAGGUGCACACCGCGUUUUCAUCCCAGCUCCUCGCAGCCCAGGUAUGCUGUCAAGCCUCACCUCCGAGAAGCACUUCUCCUCCUGCACGGCUCUCCGUGGUGGCAUCAUUAACGGUGAUGGCUAUAAUUGACUACAAAGAGCGGACCUUUAGUCCCCACCUGAUCUUUUGGAGUGUUAAUACACUGCGAGCCUGACCACGCGGCAGACUAAUGAGCAUCACACUUGACAAAUAUUGUCAUGCCUAAACAGGAGAUAAUGCUUCUGCUAAGACAAGCAGCAGGCCUGGGGGCACGUCACGCUCAGAUAGGAAAGUUAGGAACUAAUAUUAUCUUCUGCUCUCUGGGUCUGAUCCAGAUCCCCAGUGCCAGUGAAGGCUUUCUGCUGUGAGCUUUGCAUCUCGAAUAAGGAGCCCUUAAGCAAGCAGCACAAUCAAAUGGCAGAAAGGCAUCGUGCGAUGGAAUAGUGUAAUGAUGAAUUUCUCCAUAAUAACAGACUGUAUGGUAACUGCUGAGUCACGGCCUGAAGCACUGAUUGAGCACCUGGGAAAAGGACCCGGUCAGCCCUGGGAGCACAGGGACACAGUGAGCAGCACCACGAGUGACAUCACAAUCCUGCAGAGUCACACUGUCUGC
rnacentral:lncRNA from 1 species